UCAUGCCUACGGGGGGCAGCAGUGAGGAAUAUUGGUCAAUGGACGCAAGUCUGAACCAGCCAUGCCGCGUGCAGGAAGACGGCCCUAUGAGUUUUAAACUGCUUUUGUACCGGGGUAAAAUGCCUUACGAGUAGGGUUUUGAAAGUACGGUACGAAUAAGGAUCGGCUAACUCCGUGCCAGCAGCCGCGGUAAUACGGAGGAUCCGAGCGUUAUCCGGAUUCAUUGGGUUUAAAGGGUGCGUAGGUUGUUUUAUAAGUUAGC
rnacentral:rRNA from 1 species